rnacentral:rRNA from 1 species
AUUGAACGCUGGCGGCAGGCCUAACACAUGCAAGUCGAGCGGUUGAGGUAGCUUGCUACCGAAGCAGCGGCGAACGGGUGAGUAAUGCAUGGGAAUCUGCCUGGUAGUGGGGGACAACGUUUCGAAAGGAACGCUAAUACCGCAUACGCCCUACGGGGGAAAGGGGGGGAUCUUCGGACCUCUCGCUAUCAGAUGAGCCCAUGCCGGAUUAGCUAGUUGGGGGGGUAAAGGCCCACCAAGGCGACGAUCGGUAGCUGGUCUGAGAGGAUGACCGGACACACUGGAACUGAGACACGGUCCAGACUCCUACGGGAGGCAGCAGUGGGGAAUAUUGGACAAUGGGGGCAACCCUGAUCCAGCCAUGCCGCGUGUGUGAAGAAGGCCUUAGGGUUGUAAAGCACUUUCAGUGGGGAGAAAGGUGAUUCACCUAAUACGUGAGUCAAUUGAUGCUACCCACAGAAGAAGCACCGGCUAACUCCGUGCCAGCCGCCGCCGUAA